CCACCCUCACCAGAAACACCCCGAAACCCUAGCUAAGCCGCCCCAAAUCCCCGGCCUCCGGUGGCGGUGCCACCUCCAAACGCCACCAAAAUCACACCCUAUAGCCUCCUCACCCCCCCUCUUUCCAAAUCCAUAUGCCAUUACCCUCGAAUGUUGCCCCAGUUCCUCGAAUCUUAGAUCAGAAAUGAACCCUAGAAAUCCAAGGUCAAGUUUUGGCAAAAUUUCGUGUCGAAUCCGAUUAACAUUUUUAUUUCGUGAGCACACGAAAUAAAAAUUUCGUGAGCACACGAAAUAAAAAUUUCGUGAGCACACGAAAUAAAAAUUUCGUGAGCACACGAUUAACAUCAGAUUUGGCCGGAAAAUCCGAGGAUCUGAAGACUCAGGGUCCCUUUUUAUUUUUCGAACUUUUCUCAGGUAUUUUUUCUUUCUUUCUUUUGGUUUAAUCUGUCUCUCGUCUGUUUUUAAAUUUUUUGUUUCUUCUCCUCUUCUCGAAUCAUUCCUCAUUGGUUCCGGAAUCUAUUCAUUCAUGCAUGAGUAAUCGGAGUCUUGUUAGGUUAGUUUUAAAAUUGUUAGUUUGGUUAAGUUUAGUUAGUAAACCAUUUAGGCUAAAGUUUAAUUGUUCUGUGUUAUUUGGUAAUCAGAUAACUGCUAGUUGGGCCGAAUAGAUCUUUGAUAUUGAGGGUUGGGUUUUGGGUCUAUUCCGGUUCAUUUGGGGUUAAACAGUUGGGCCAAAUUGACCCAUGACCCAUUCGGUCUGUCUAAGUAUCAACAGGGGUUCUGCUAGAUUGGUUUCCUAGAGUAAAUAAUCAGGGUUCGAGGGGUAGUUUAGGUAAUUGGCUUAAGGGAAUCUUGCUAUAACAGACUAGGAAGCUUCUAGGAAGCUGGGGAAGGGGUUGGUUCUGAUUUUCUAUUUUUUUAUAAUGGUAUCUGAGCUAUAAUGAAAAUUGAAAAUGGGGCAAAGUGCAAACCAAGUCUGCCCUUAUAGCUUGCCUAUAAAGGUAGCUUUUCUUGCCUUUCAAGGCUAACCCAAGGGCUAAAAAGAAGAAAAGCUCAGAAAAAUACAAAAAUUGGCAGGAAUUUUACUGUUUCAUUGAGUUUUUCUGUUAAUUCCUGCAAUUUUCCUGGUGGUGCAACAAGUUCUGACUGGCUGACCUUAGAAAUAAACUAAAAUCAGCUUGGCUAAAGUUCUGUUUGGUCCAUUGUUUGGGUUGAAUUAGUUUCUGGCCGUUUACUUCAAUUUCUGGGUUUGAAAUUUAAUUUUAGAGCAGCUGGUUGGUUUUGUUGAUUGGGUUUGGCUGUUGACCCUUGCUCUUGCUACUGCUCUUUGCUGAUCUUAUUACCUCUCUCUUGUUUGUGCUCUCAGGUAUUUCCUUAUGCCCUUUGCUAACAAAUGAAGUGCCACAAGUUGGAACCAGACUGAAUUUUUAUGCAGAUUUGGAUGUUCGAAUUGGAAUUCGAAUAGAAACCUUGUUUAGAUGUUAGAUUCUAUUAGCUUCUGCUGUCUAUACCUUUGUGUUCUUGUCAUAAUUCAUGUGUUAUGCUAUGUAUGUAUAGUUUGCUUGAUUUUAACUGUAGCCAAUUGAUUUUCCGUACAGUUUACGCCUCAGUUUAAGAGGGAUUAUUAUUGAUUACUGUAUAAGGUUCUUAUCCAUGCCCC
rnacentral:lncRNA from 1 species